GACGAACGCUGGCGGCGUGCUUAACACAUGCAAGUCGAACGGAAAGGCCCUGCUUUUGUGGGGUGCUCGAGUGGCGAACGGGUGAGUAACACGUGAGUAACCUGCCCUUGACUUUGGGAUAACUUCAGGAAACUGGGGCUAAUACCGGAUAGGAGCUCCUGCUGCAUGGUGGGGGUUGGAAAGUUUCGGCGGGUGGGGAUGGACUCGCGGCUUAUCAGCUUGUUGGUGGGGUAGUGGCUUACCAAGGCUUUGACGGGUAGCCGGCCUGAGAGGGUGACCGGCCACAUUGGGACUGAGAUACGGCCCAGACUCCUACGGGAGGCAGAAGUGGGGAAUAUUGCACAAUGGGCGGAAGCCUGAUGAAGCAACGCCGCGUGCGGGAUGACGGCCUUCGGGUUGUAAACCGCUUUCGCCUGUGACGAAGCGUGAGUGACGGUAAUGGGUAAAGAAGCACCGGCUAACUACGUG
rnacentral:rRNA from 1 species